GCUCCAUUUGGCUCCAACGGCCUGAAAACAAAGUGGUUCAGCAUCACAACGUCUCACUAUGAACUGCAGCGAUGGACAUGCGUCUGGCUGUGAUGUUGGAAUCGUGAGUUUAUUUGGUCGGAGAUCAAAGAACUGAGCCGCGAGCUUUAAGAAACGUUCGGUCUCUCCUUAGGUUGGAUUACGGAAAGUCGCCACAUCAGUGAGCGUCACAGUCAAAUUCAGCAGGGGCCUCACGUACGAAGACUUGCGUAGAUGUCCUACUAAAUUUGGCGUAAGUUCAAAUCCAGAAAACUGCCUACGUACAGAUGUAUCAAGGUCCAGUAAGUACGGAUUUACGCACGUUUCCUUCGUACCUACCAGUCAACGUAGAACUGAGCGCAGGUGAAUGAGUUGCAGACUCCGCCCGUGACACGCCCCUAUAUAAUUAUGGUAAUUUCUUCAAAUAUGAUUGGUUUUGAGGAUUCCCUUGUCAGCCAGGGAUCAUGGCAACAUGAGGAAGAAAGAGAAGCUUCACGAAGUGCGAGCUGGAGACUAGGGGUGGGCGAUACUGCAAACUUAGAAGUCGAUCCGAUACCAAGUUAAUACUGGACCAUCUUCGCCGAUAUCGAAAUUGGCACUUUUUGUCCAUUAAUGCAUUAUCAAAUAUAAAUACAUUUUCGUGACUUUCGGGUGUUUUGUUUUAAAUUGUAUUCAUUUAAUAAAGCCCAGACAAAGUUCAACAGUAAAUAUAAAUAUAUAAUAUAAAUUGGUGGUGUUGCCACUGUAUUUAAUACUCUUUUUGCUGAUUGUACAGGUUGCCGUUGUUUCAUUUUUGGUUUGAAAAUAUACUGUAACCAUCCUUCUUCCUUGUCUGUGUCAUCCUUGGUCCGAGUCGCUGAGUCCCGUGUGAUCUCAAAGCUAGAGGGAGGGGUGGGGGGGUGUCUGGCAUUCGUCGCACAGGCCGCUUACGGACAGACACUUAAGAGACGCAGAUAGUGAGGUCGCGUCUUUGAAAAAAAACGGCAGCAGUGCUGAGGAGUAAAGAUUCAACCAAGGGGUGGUAACGCCACACAUGGGGGAUUCGGAUGUCCUUUAAGACGCAGUGCAGCACACACAUGGAAAACCAGUGGACCCCACUGGACCCCACUGGCACCAGCGCUGCCGUCGGCGCUUCCAGUGGCAGAGGUUUCUUCCGUGCGGGCCGACCGGGUUCCGAUGUCCCAACGCGUUCUGUGCUGGACUCACAGGAGGAGAUUGUGAGAGGAAUUCACAGCAACUCAACGUGUGCGUCGUUAAGGCAGGGCCACACUGUGAAGGCGCGCGUUGCCAGGGUGAUAUAACAGCAUCGCCCCAGUCCGAUCCAGGCAGCAUCACUGUCCUUUCAAGGGGCCGAUGGUCCUCACCGCCACUGGACGUGUGAUGGAGUGGCAGUCAUUGGACCUCUGCUCACGGUCACAUUGUCAGUUGGUGAGGGGCAUCAUCAGCCACGUUUUCAAUGGAAAACCGCAGUCAUAAUUCCUGCUAAUAUAAUGUGAUGAGUUAAUGUAAUACAGCACAGAUACUUAACGGCAAGACGUGCGUGGGGAUGGCCUUUUACGCAUAUGUUAAUAAUACUACAGUAUAUACUAAGACAAAUAGAUGCUUGGUGACAGUAGUGUGUAGUGUUUAAUAAUAGGACGUCUUUAUAUAAAAGCACCAGCUAGCACUGAUGCUGAGGACAUGAUGAUACAGUAUUUGGAGGAGCACGGGUUCUAUGCGCAACAGGAAAUGUUCCACCUCAGUGUUCUGGUGCUCAGCACCGUCUCAUGGGUCAGCAGCUGUUUCACUUGUGUGCUCUCUCUGUGGUGCAGGUGCCUCCUGCCACCACUGUCCUUUCCCGUCGUCCCAUCGGGGUCUGGUCUACAGAGACUCUCUGUCGGCUCUGUCCUGAAGGCUGAACCCAGGGGGCCGCCAUCACAGACCCUGCAGGCUCACCAGACCUGACCUCCCUCAGCCCCCAGGCAGCCUUAAGAACCUGGUCCUGGCUCACCUGAGGAAGCUGCUGAUGCUGAGCUCCACGCAGGGGAGAGGCCUCCAUCUGCCAUGUGACUGACUCCAGACCAGCCAGUUUUGUUU